rnacentral:rRNA from 1 species
GAUUAAAGAUUUAUCGGUGAUGGAUGGGGAUGCGUCUGAUUAGCUUGUUGGCGGGGUAACGGCCCACCAAGGCGACGAUCAGUAGGGGUUCUGAGAGGAAGGUCCCCCACAUUGGAACUGAGACACGGUCCAAACUCCUACGGGAGGCAGCAGUGAGGAAUAUUGGUCAAUGGGCGAGAGCCUGAACCAGCCAAGUAGCGUGCAGGAUGACGGCCCUAUGGGUUGUAAACUGCUUUUAUAAGGGAAUAAAGUGAGUCUCGUGAGACUUUUUGCAUGUACCUUAUGAAUAAGGACCGGCUAAUUCCGUGCCAGCAGCCGCGGUAAUACGGAAGGUCCGGGCGUUAUCCGGAUUUAUUGGGUUUAAAGGGAGCGUAGGCCGGAGAUUAAGCGUGUUGUGAAAUGUAGAUGCUCAACGUCUGCACUGCAGCGCGAACUGGUUUCCUUGAGUACGCACAAAGUGGGCGGAAUUCGUGGUGUAGCGGUGAAAUGCUUAGAUAUCACGAAGAACUCCGAUUGCGAAGGCAGCUCACUGGAGCGCAACUGACGCUGAAGCUCGAAAGUGCGGGUAUCGAACAGGAUUAGAUACCCUGGUAGUCCGCACGGUAAACGAUGGAUGCCCGCUGUUGGUCUGAAUAGGUCAGCGGCCAAGCGAAAGCAUUAAGCAUCCCACCUGGGGAGUACGCCGGCAACGGUGAAACUCAAAGGAAUUGACGGGGGCCCGCACAAGCGGAGGAACAUGUGGUUUAAUUCGAUGAUACGCGAGGAACCUUACCCGGGCUUGAAUUGCAGAGGAAGGAUUUGGAGACAAUGACGCCCUUCGGGGUCUCUGUGAAGGUGCUGCAUGGUUGUCGUCAGCUCGUGCCGUGAGGUGUCGGCUUAAGUGCCAUAACGAGCGCAACCCCUCUCCUUAGUUGCCAUCAGGUUAAGCUGGGCACUCUGGGGACACUGCCACCGUAAGGUGUGAGGAAGGUGGGGAUGACGUCAAAUCAGCACGGCCCUUACGUCCGGGGCUACACACGUGUUACAAUGGCAGGUACAGAGAGA